rnacentral:rRNA from 1 species
GAUAAACGCGUGACAGAAUGCUUAACACGUGCAAGUCGAUGAUGGGAAGCUAAGCCUAGCUUAGAAGAAGUCAUGGCGGACGGGUGAGUAACGUGUAAAGAACUUGCCCUCUAGACUGGGAUAACAGAUAGAAAUGUCUGAUAAUACCGGAUAUUAUUGUUACAUGGCAUCAUGUAGGAAUGAAAGGAUAAGAUUGCUAGAGGAGAGCUUUGCAUCCUAUUAGCUAGUUGGUAAGGUAGUGGCUUACCAAGGCGACGACGGGUAACCGGCCUGAGAGGGUGAUCGGCCACACUGGGACUGAGACACGGCCCAG